rnacentral:rRNA from 1 species
AUGAACGCUGGCGGCGUGCCUAAUACCUGCAAGUCGAGCGAACAGACGAGGAGCUUGCUCCUCUGACGUUAGCGGCGGACGGGUGAGUAACACGUGGAUAACCUACCUAUAAGACUGGGAUAACUUCGGGAAACCGGAGCUAAUACCGGAUAAUAUAUUGAACCGCAUGGUUCAAUAGUGAAAGACGGUUUUGCUGUCACUUAUAGAUGGAUCCGCGCCGCAUUAGCUAGUUGGUAAGGUAACGGCUUACCAAGGCGACGAUGCGUAGCCGACCUGAGAGGGUGAUCGGCCACACUGGAACUGAGACACGGUCCAGACUCCUACGGGAGGCAGCAGUAGGGAAUCUUCCGCAAUGGGCGAAAGCCUGACGGAGCAACGCCGCGUGAGUGAUGAAGGUCUUCGGAUCGUAAAACUCUGUUAUUAGGGAAGAACAAAUGUGUAAGUAACUAUGCACGUCUUGACGGUACCUAAGCAGAAAGCCACGGCUAACUACGU